CUCACGGCAAUGCCGGAUCCGUUAACCCACUGAGCGAGGCCAAGGAUCGACCCCACAACCUCAUGGUUGCUAGUUAGACUCGUUCCUGCUGAGCCACGCCGGGAACUCCCGUUCAGAUGAUUCCUAGUUUUCCUCGGAGUUGUCUUUGUUUCUUGAUGUUUUGCAAUUAGGAAAAAUGACCUCGGUAGCACCCUUGUUUCUCAAGCCAAAGAAAUAGAGUCGGGCAGGUGGAGGUGGGCCCCGCAUGCCGAGGUUUGUACCAAAUGCACACGUGGGAAGGAUGGCACGGGGCUGAGCAAAAAGAGACCCAGUGACCUGGCACAUUUCAAAGAUUUGUGAUGGUGGCAUGGGACACAGGAGAGGGACCUCUGGGGCACCUGGGCCGCAGGAGUCCAGGGGUGAAUUGCCACAGCCGGGCGUGGGCCUGGCUGCCUGCUGAGAGAGCCCCGGGGGUCGGCCAGGCAGUGACGCGGUGACUGCCAGGGUUUGGGGGAGAGAGGAGUCCGAACCAGCCCCGGUUUGGAGGGUGAGUGUCUCUCCCAGGAGAAAGAGUAAAUUCCUGUGGGGGAGCCAUGGUACCGAAAGCGAGGUAACACCCAAAGGAAGAAGGAGCGUCUGGGCAGCGGUGCUGCGGGCUGGGGAGCCUACAAGGGGCGGGCAUACUCUGCCCGCUUCCCAGCAAGCCACGGACACUGUGGACAGGGUGUCCCCGGCCCGUCUGCUAGGGGCAACAGGCUGGAUGGACGGGCAUGCCCUGGAGACACAGAGGGGGAGAGUCACCCCAGGGGCUGCCUGCCUGGGGCUGAGGGACGGCCUUGAGCUUCCCAGGCCAGGCCUGCCCAGCGGAGGGCAGCUGUGGGGUUGUCCUGGUCUAGGGAGAACCUGACCCAUCUGGGAAAUGACCAGUAGGCAGAUCCUCCACUUUGGGUCAGAGAUGAUGUGUUUGUACGUAACAUUAAAGCUUGCAGGGGGUCCAGCUAGGCGUUCCCGUCGAGGCUCAGCAGGUCACGAACCUCAUAUAGUGUCCAUGAGGAUAUGGGUUGGAUCCCUGGCCUGGCUCAGUGGGUUGAGGAUCUGGCAUUGCCUUUAGCUGUGGUGUAGGUUGCAGAUGGGGCUAGGAUUCCGUGUUGCUUUGGCUGUGGCUGUGGCCUAGGCCGGUAGCUCUGAUUCGACCCCCAGCCUGGGAACCAUCCAGGUGGUCCUGGGACGGGGCCGUGUCACGGCCACACUGUCUCCUCCCCAGGUCCUUCUCUUCUUAGGACAUGUGUUGGGGUCGUGAGAGUCAGCUGAGGCUUGGACACGUGAGGCCAUCCAGAGGUCCCCCGUCCUUAACCUCGGGGUCCACUCCCCAAGGAUGCCCAGCACGGAGAAACCAGGCAAGUCUCUCAGAUCCUCUGGGCUCUGUGCGUGACGGCCGACCGGGGCCCUCAGUGUGCUCCCGGGGACGGUCAGGGAGGUGACACCUUGUGGAGCUGGGAGCCCGUGACCGGCUGUGCAAGGUUGUAUGGCUGUGUCGGGCCAGGAGGAGGUGGCCCCGGCCCUUGGCUCCUGUGGUUGCGGUGGACUGCCCGCCCUCACUGUCACACAGGACGCGGGUGGGCAGAACAGACAGGCACAGGUGCAGACCCCUGCCUUCCAAAGAAGAUGCUUCCAGGAGUGCCCGUCGUGGCGCUGUGGAGGUGGAUCCGACUAAGAACCAUGAGGAUGUGGGUUUGAUCCCUGGCCUCGCUCAGUGGGUUAAGGAUCCGGCGUUGCCAUGAGCUGUGGUGGAGGCCAGCAGCUGUAGCCCUGAUUCGACCCUAACCUGGGAACUUCCAUGUGCCUCGGGUGCAGCCCUAAAAAGGAUUGAAGACAAAUGAGUGUAGACUGAAGAAACUCUAUGAAUUUUAAUUAGCAUAAAUACAAAGAAAGUACACCUAGGAAUAUCCUGGUAAAAUUGCUGAAAGCCGGAAUUGUAAAAGCAUCAUUACCUUCAAAGUACAGCAAAAAGAUACGAAGUCAGAGUUCCCGCUGUGGCACAAUGGGCGCGCAGGCUGGCACCGUGCGUUGGGGACCCGGCAUUGCCACAGCUGCGCCUUAGGUCAUAACUAGGUCAUAACAGGCAUUGGCUCGCUGUGCUCGGGGAAUUGCGUCCCAAUGCUCUGCCCCGGAGGUGCCCUCCUCGGCCGUGUCUGCGUGUGCGCGGGACACGAAGAGGGACUGUCACUUGAGCAGCCUCAGGUUCCCCAGUAUGAGACUGUAACAAAAUCUCUGCUCUGUCCUUCCAACCAAAGACUGUAUGGCAGCGAAAAGGAAGGUCUCGAGGCAAAUGCAUCUCACAAACAUUGAUGAGAAAGAAAAGCACCUUGUAGAAGGUUUACUUGAGGUAUUUUUCUUAACAAAUUGAAGUCACUCGUUGAGGCUUUUCAAAGCAGGCGUGUUGUUCCGGGGUUAGCCUCUCAGGUUGCUUUGUGUGUUGUCCUGGACUGUGCUGUGUUCUAGCUUCGCUGGCUUGAUCGUCCAUUCCCUGCUGGGAGGGCAGCCCCCUGGCCCUGGCAGGUGAGACUUUGAUGUGGACCAAGGGGGUGGGGGCCAAGCACCCUCCCCAUCAGGACAGAGACUUACAAUACCUUCCUGUAUCUGAUUCCAGGACUCUUGCAAUUCCGUUUCCACUUUCAGCAUUUAAUGCCACUUGGAAUUUAUUUUUAGAACCAUGGAAAGUUGGGAUUGGAUCUACCCUUUUCCUUCUCUCUCUAUGGAAAUUCUAACACCAUUGAAGAGUGUGUCUUAUCGUCAGUGAUUUGAGGCCCCUGCAUUUCUGCAUAUGGUUGGGUUUUUUUCUGGACACCCGGUUUUAUUCUACUUGUCCAUUUGUCUGUCCCCAUACAAAUACCACAUGGUUUAAUGGAGGUAUUUGAUAUAUUUAGAUGUACAGAUGGGCACCUGUCUCCACAGGUUUUCUUAUUUCUUUUAGAAUUUUCUUGACUCUUCUUGUGGAUUAUCUCUUCCAGAUGACUUUAGGAUCAGCUCAUCAAGUUAUGCGAAAAUCCUGUUGACACCUUGGUUGGGAUUAAAUUGACUUUACAAUCUGA